rnacentral:rRNA from 1 species
CCUACGGGUGGCAGCAGUGGGGAAUAUUGGACAAUGGGGGGAACCCUGAUCCAGCCAUGCCGCGUGUGUGAAGAAGGCCCUCGGGUUGUAAAGCACUUUCAGUGAGGAAGAACGCCUGGUGGUUAAUACCCAUCAGGAAAGACAUCACUCACAGAAGAAGCACCGGCUAACGCCGUGCCAGCAGCCGCGGUAAUACGGAGGGUGCGAGCGUUAAUCGGAAUUACUGGGCGUAAAGCGCGCGUAGGUGGCUUGAUAAGCCGGUUGUGAAAGCCCCGGGCUCAACCUGGGAACGGCAUCCGGAACUGUCAAGCUAGAGUGCAGGAGAGGAAGGUAGAAUUCCCGGUGUAGCGGUGAAAUGCGUAGAGAUCGGGAGGAAUACCAGUGGCGAAGGCGGCCUUCUGGACUGACACUGACACUGAGGUGCGAAAGCGUGGGUAGCAAACAGGAUUAGAUACCCCUGUAGUC